AAUGUGUCUUGGCUAAUGUGUCUUGGCUAAGGUGUCUUGGCUAAUGUGUCCUGGCUAAUGUGUCUUGGCUAAUGUGUCUUGGCUAAUGUGUCUUGGCUAUGGUGUCUUGGCUAAGGUGUCUUGGCUAAGGUGUCCUGGCUAAUGUGUCUUGGCUAAUGUGUCUUGGCUAAGGUGUCUUGGCUAAUGUGUCUUGGCUAAGGUGUCUUGGCUAAUGUGUCUUGGCUAAGGUGUCUUGGCUAAGGUGUCUUGGCUAAGGUGUCUUGGCUAAGGUGUCUUGGCUAAUGUGUCUUGGCUAAUGUGUCUUGGCU